GUCUGACUUCUCGGCGAUUUUUACGAUCUAACUUCGAGAUAAAACCCCUAUCCAUUUGACAUCUAAAUGUCAUAGCGACUUUUGGGAUAGUUUGCUAUCGACAAAGGGAGACAAAGUCAAGGGGUGAAGGGAAAGGAGGGCCAAGUAGAGCCUCCACGACCCUCGGCUUCCUCCUCACCAGCUCCCCCUCCCUCCAAGUCCAGUAAGAAGUUGGGCCAAGCUGGAAGGGAUUGACCGGGUUGCUUGUCUGGAGAUGGAGCCACUACAGGCGGGCCUGGGCGCCUGGAGUCGGGCAUGAAAGAAAAUAGCGCCUCAUCGCUCUUAUCUAAGCCCAGAGGUCCAGGGGACAACCUGAGGGCCCUGAAGUGUUUCAAUACCAUGUACCAGCUUGACUUCUCUACAUGUCCUUUGGAUUGCCCAAAAGCAAAAUCUCAGAGGGGCCAAGGACCUUCUAGGGCUGGCUCCCUCAGGGCCUCCUAUAGAGCAGCUCCUUGAGUCGGGCCUUAUAGCCACCAGAAAGUCACCUCGCCGCAGGAAAGCUAUAAAGAGCUGCUCCAGAGGCGCCGAAAGAGGGUAGACUUCGCUUGAAAAGAUCGAGAAUGGAGGAGGGGAUCGGCACUCACUUGCAGACAUCAACAGUUUCCAGAAAAUUCGGUUCAAUUCCUUCACCACGGACCCACCAACCAAGGAGCUGGCAAAACCCACUAACCAACCAGGAGAACACAGACCCGGUUUGUCUUUUGACAACCGAGUGGAACUGACGGGGCCGGCGCCUGCCCUGCGGGUCCCCUCCCUUGGCUGAGAAGAAAACCAAAUAAACCUUGAACAGCCUUGGCUUCGGAUGUCUCAAGCGGCCUCAUCCUCUCCCGCGCCUUGGUGGGGUGGGGGUGGGGAUGGCGGUGGGGGUGUCGGCUCUGAUCCCUCCACCCUUUGAUUCAGGGCCCCUGCCCGCUGGAAGCAGAAUUAGACCUUUUUAUAUAUGCCCUAGAGGAAGCCGCUUCCCUUGCCAGCCGCCAGCCGUUUCCUCUCCCUCGCCGGCCUCGGCGGAGAUUCCAGGCCCUAUAGAAACCAGGACGUCCCUUAGCGCCACCGCCUCACAUGCCAGUGCUGCCGGGAACCCAGCGAUAUCCGCACCAGCGGAGAAGGUUCCAGGCUGCCGGCGGCGGCGCAGAGAGCGGGAAGAGAGGCUCGGAGGAAGCCCCGGGCGUGGCGUGGUCAGGCUCCGAGAGCGGCCGGGAUGCGGCCACACCGGCCUGGUAAACUCGCACCUCUUAGGAUCUUGCUCCCGGACUCAUUCCCUUCCCCACCCCCUAUUUUAAAGUUUUAUUUGGGUCGUCUGUAUCAAUUUAGAACGAGAUAAAUUAAGACAAAGAAAGUAAAAUAAAUCGAAAUAAAAUAUAGGAAUAGCUCUUGGCGAAAAUGUUUGCCGUGCGAGCAGGAAGCCGUGAGCGCCCUAGUUGGAGGCUGCUCUGCGCCGACUAAGAGGCCUCUACUCCCAGGCCUGGCCUCUACGCAACGCCACCCAAGAAGCCAGAGUGAAUUUGGGUGUUCAUUUUCCCUUUCCUUCCGCUCUUCCUUCAUGUGGGGCCUAGCAGCUUGGAUUUCAGCUCCGUCUUUGUGCCUGGGCUGCAGCCCAGAUCCAGAUCCCGCAGCUUGGUUUCCAGGCCUGAAUGAGGACGCGGGUUUGUGAAACUGUGAGGUUUUUGUUUUGUUGUUUUGUGAGCUUGUGUGACUAAGCAUGUGGGCUUCUGAGUGCGUUUACUUGGGGGCAAAUGUGAAUCUGUGUUUAUAAGCCAAUGUGUGAAUGUACGUUGGUAUCAAUGUGUCUGUGAGUGUGAAUGUGUGUUUACUUGUGAGCGUGUGUGAACAUGAAUGCCUA
rnacentral:lncRNA from 1 species